rnacentral:rRNA from 1 species
GAUGAACGCUAGCGGCAGGCCUAAUACAUGCAAGUCGAACGGUAACAUUGGUGCUUGCACCAGAUGACGAGUGGCGCACGGGUGCGUAACGCGUAUGCAACCUACCUUUUACUAGAGUAUAGCCCAGAGAAAUUUGGAUUAAUCCUCUAUAACAUCUUUUAAUUUCAUGAUUUUAAGAUUAAAGUUUUAACGGUAAAAGAUGGGCAUGCGUCCUAUUAGUUUGUAGGUGAGGUAACGGCUCACCUAGACUACGAUAGGUAGGGGCCCUGAGAGGGGGAUCCCCCACACUGGUACUGAGACACGGACCAGACUCCUACGGGAGGCAGCAGUAAGGAAUAUUGGACAAUGGACGAAAGUCUGAUCCAGCCAUGCCGCGUGCUAGGAUGACGAGCCCUACGGGUUGUAAACUGCUUUUAUACGAGGAAGAAACACUCCGACGUGUCGGAGCUUGACGGUACUGCGAAGGAAUAAGGAAUCGGCUAACUCCGUGCCCAGCGG